GCCGGGUGCGGUGUUGCACACCUGUAAUACCAGAGACUUGGGAGGCUGAGGCAGGAGGAUCUCAAGUUCAGAGCCAGCCUCAGCAACAGCAAGGUGCUAAACAACUCAGUGAGACCCUGUCUCUA
rnacentral:sRNA from 1 species